rnacentral:rRNA from 1 species
GGCCUACCAUGGUAGUAACGGGUAACGGGGUGUUAGGGCACGACACCGGAGAGGGAGCCUGAGAAACGGCUACCACAUCCAAGGAUGGCAGCAGGCGCGCAAAUUACCCAAUCCCAACACGGGGAGGUAGUGACAAUAAAUAACAAUACGGGGUCCUUUCGGGUUUCGUAAUUGGAAUGAGUACAAUUUAAAUCACUUAACGAGGAACAAUUGGAGGGCAAGUCUGGUGCCAGCAGCCGCGGUAAUUCCAGCUCCAAUAGCGUAUAUUAAAGUUGUUGCAGUUAAAAAGCUCGUAGUUGAACUUCGGGACCAGUGGGUUGGUCGUGCCUCCGGUACGUACUGGCCCUACCGGUUCCUCCCUUCUGACGAACCACGAUGUCAUUAAUUUGGUGUCGUGGGGAAUCAGGACUGUUACUUUGAAAAAAUUAGAGUGUUUAAAGCAGGCUAAAGCUUGAAUAGAUUAGCAUGGAAUAACGAAAUAGGACGUUUGAUCUUAUUUUGUUGGUUUCUAAGAUCGACGUAAUGAUUAAUAGGGAUAGUUGGGGGCAUUAGUAUUCAAUUGUCAGAGGUGAAAUUCUUGGAUUUAUUGAAGACUAACUACUGCGAAAGCAUUUGCCAAGGAUGUUUUCAUUAAUCAAGAACGAAAGUUAGGGGAUCGAAGACGAUCAGAUACCGUCGUAGUCUUAACCAUAAACUAUGCCGACUAGGGAUCGGAUGAUGUUAAUUUUUUAAUGACUCAUUCGGCACCUUACG